ACGGAUGUGGAUCGGUUGAGAAUUCCGAUGUCUGUGGUCAAGAGACAUCUGAUGAAGAGUGGAGUUUUCCCUGGUUGUGAUAAUUGUUGUGCUGCUUGCACUGUCACUAUAGAUGGGUGUGUAAUGUUAAGGGAGACGAUUCAGAGAAUGAUGGAUGAGGGAAGCCUCCGAUUUGAGAAAAUUGUUGUGGAGAAGGAGG
rnacentral:lncRNA from 1 species